AUAUUGCACAAUGGGGGAAACCCUGAUGCAGCCAUGCCGCGUGUGUGAAGAAGGCCUUCGGGUUGUAAAGCACUUUCAGUAGGGAGGAAAGGUAGCAGCUUAAUACGCUGUUGCUGUGACGUUACCUACAGAAGAAGGACCGGCUAACUCCGUGCCAGCAGCCGCGGUAAUACGGAGGGUCCGAGCGUUAAUCGGAAUUACUGGGCGUAAAGCGUGCGCAGGCGGUUUGUUAAGCGAGAUGUGAAAGCCCCGGGCUCAACCUGGGAAUUGCAUUUCGAACUGGCGAACUAGAGUCUUGUAGAGGGGGGUAGAAUUCCAGGUGUAGCGGUGAAAUGCGUAGAGAUCUGGAGGAAUACCGGUGGCGAAGGCGGCCCCCUGGACAAAGACUGACGCUCAGGCACGAAAGCGUGGGGAGCAAACAGGAUUAGAUACCCUGGUAGUCCACGCCGUAAACGAUGUCUACUCGGAGUUUGGUGUCUUGAACACUGGGCUCUCAAGCUAACGCAUUAAGUAGACCGCCUGGGGAGUACGGCCGCAAGGUUAAAACUCAAAUGAAUUGACGGGGCCCCCCA
rnacentral:rRNA from 1 species